rnacentral:rRNA from 1 species
AUUGAACGCUGGCGGCAGGCUUAACACAUGCAAGUCGAGCGGAGAUGAGGUGCUUGCACCUUAUCUUAGCGGCGGACGGGUGAGUAAUGCUUAGGAAUCUGCCUAUUAGUGGGGGACAACAUUCCGAAAGGAAUGCUAAUACCGCAUACGUCCUACGGGAGAAAGCAGGGGAUCUUCGGACCUUGCGCUAAUAGAUGAGCCUAAGUCGGAUUAGCUAGUUGGUGGGGUAAAGGCCUACCAAGGCGACGAUAUGUAGCGGGUCUGAGAGGAUGAGCCGCCACACUGGGACUGAGACACGGUCCAGACUCCUACGGGAGGCAGCAGUGGGGAAUAUUGGACAAUGGGAGGAACCCUGAUCCAGCCAUGCCGCGUGUGUGAAGAAGGCCUUAUGGUUGUAAAGCACUUUAAGCGAGGAGGAGGCUACUGAGACUAAUACUCUUGGAUAGUGGACGUUACUCGCAGAAUAAGCACCGGCUAACUCUGUGCCAGCCGCCGCCGUAA